GGGGGAUAACCGCCCGAAAGGGUGGCUAAUACCGCAUGUGGUCUUUGGGUUGCGGCCCAGAGAGUAAAGCUCCGGCGGUUCGGGGGGAGCGUGCGGCCGAUUAGCUAGUUGGUGGGGUAAAAGCCUACCAAGGCGACGAUCGGUAGCUGGUCUGAGAGGACGAUCAGCCACACGGGGACUGAGACACGGCCCCGACUCCUACGGGAGGCAGCAGCGAGGAAUCUUGGUCAAUGGGCGCAAGCCUGAACCAGCGACGCCGCGUGGAGGAUGAAGGCCCUCGGGUUGUAAACUCCUUUUGGGUGGGAAGAAGCUCUGACGGUACCACCCGAAUAAGCCCCGGCUAACUACGUGCCAGCAGCCGCGGUAAUACGUAGGGGGCGAGCGUUGUCCGGAUUUAUUGGGCGUAAAGCGCGCGCAGGCGGUUCGUUCAGUCCGUUGUGAAAGCUCCUGGCUCAACUGGGAGAGGUCUUCGGAUACUGGCGGACUCGAGGGAGGCAGAGGAAGGUGGAAUUCCGGGUGUAGUGGUGAAAUGCGUAGAGAUCCGGAGGAACACCAGUGGCGAAGGCGGCCUUCUGGGCCUUUCCUGACGCUGAGGCGCG
rnacentral:rRNA from 1 species